rnacentral:rRNA from 1 species
UACGAAGGGGGCUAGCGUUGCCCGGAAUCACUGGGCGUAAAGGGUGCGUAGGCGGGUCUUUAAGUCAGGGGUGAAAUCCUGGAGCUCAACUCCAGAACUGCCUUUGAUACUGAAGAUCUUGAGUUCGGGAGAGGUGAGUGGAACUGCGAGUGUAGAGGUGAAAUUCGUAGAUAUUCGCAAGAACACCAGUGGCGAAGGCGGCUCACUGGCCCGAUACUGACGCUGAGGCACGAAAGCGUGGGGAGCAAACAGG